rnacentral:lncRNA from 10 species
AAGAAUAAUGACAUUUUCUUGAUACAGGUUCCUCUAAGUCACAAAUGUAAAAGACAGCAAGCUCAAUAUGCAGACCAUAUGGUCAUAUCAAUCUUUGUUUCCCUUCCUUUCUCCGUCUUCCCCUCUAGCGUCUCCUGCAGUUCCAAGCUGACACGGCAGAUGGUGUAGUUGAAUCGCCCAGGGAGCCUCAGCACAGCGGCCUCAGUCACCUCUCCACAAGGCAGCUGCCCCAAGCUGCAUUCAUUGGGACAAACCUACCUUCCUUCUAGAAUGUGAGUCAGAUGCGGCAGUGGUACUGCAGGCGGCAGCAAUGGCAGUGUCACAACACAGACUGAGAUUUGGCUUCAACACCGAACCGCUUGGGGGCUCUCAUGGAUGCAAAGUGUGUCGUUUCCUUGUGGAAGGACAGUGAAGGGUUUCCUCCUCCAAGAAGCUGCGUUAGCACUGGACCAACGACAAACAAGUGAAGGGCUUGGGUCAGGAUACCUGUGUUACAGCUGCAGAAUGUCAAGCACAGGGGCAGUGACUACAGCUUGCCAGGGCAGAGCCCACAGAGCAUUAUCCUAAAUAUCAUGGCCACAAAUCCAAAUUAAGUGUUGGUGACUCAGGUACCAUGCGCUGCAUUGAAUGACUCAGUAAAAUUCCAACCAAAUGAUAAUGCAAACAUGAAAUCAGCAAGCAAGCAUAAUUUCUGGAAAUGAUAGAGUCCCACCGAGACUUGGCAAACAGGCCGUCCAUUUUCCCCUUGUUGCACAGUGUCACAAUGCCUCUUCUACAGAUGUGGCCCCCUGAGCUGUGAACUCCUUGAAGACAAGGACUAGAACAGUGCCUGGCACAGUCCAUGUUGUAUACAGGAGGAAGAGGAUGUGGCUGAGUGUGGCACUGGGGCACGUGAAUGCCCACAUGCAGAGGGGAUGCUUGACAAUUAAACCACCCAUAAAGCAAGGCAUUAUAAAUGGCUGUGAGUGUGGCCAGCAUUGACUUUGGGCAACAGAGCUCUGGAUUUGCUAAGCCUCACGGGUGAGUGAAUGGUGGGAGUUGGAGGCAAGCAGGUUACCAGAGAUUCCUCAGUGCUCUGGGGGAGGUGUUUUCAAGCCAGCAAAACCAGCCUUGGUGAGACCUGACCUCUGAAUAGGACAAUAUAAAAACCCACAAAGAGACUUUAGCCUAGUUCUCUUUUUAAAUAAAGUCAGGUGGGCAGGGGCAGGGGGAUUCCCAUUAGAAAGUUUUAUGGUAUUUUGUAGUAGAUUAUGAAUUAUACUUUGAAACUACACAAAACAGUUCAAACACAGUGCUUCCUGCAGCUAGAAUCACAGGCUGUCAGCCACGGCUCUGCUCACCUCCCCAGCUAAGCCACCUACCUUCUUGUGGGGGACACAGAUCGCCCCCUGUGGUCUUGUUGCCCUGCCUCACCCCUUGAGAACCUUCUUUCUUUUCUUUCCUUCUUUCUUUCUUUUAUGUACAUUUAGUUCCCACAGGCUUCCUUUAUCAAUAUUUCAAUUGGUUGCUGCUGACCUAUACUUGAAUCCAAAUAUUUGCCCUAUUCAGUAGGAAUUGUUCAUUCAGCCAAAUGCCUGAUUAUGUCUGUGCUCUUUUGAGCAAAUUGAAUGGGCUACUUGACUAUGUAAUGCCGAUAUAGCCUGGUCAUUAGUAAUGUUUGUUAGAAUUGACCAGAUGCAACAAGGAAGGAAAGGGAGAGAAGAAGGAGGUUUGUGUUCAGUUUUCCUUCCAGAGCAACCGUGGUGAAGAAAACGAAAUUAUGCGCUUUCCAGGGCACAGCUCUAAACUGCCUUCCUGUUCUUCCAAAUGGUCCCGUAGUCUAAUAUGAAUCAAAUGGGUCAGGGUUCAAAAGAGAUGGAUGCUCCUGAAGCUCGCAAGUUUAUGUAUUCAUUGGGAAACUUCCCCCUGUAAAAUGAAUAUGGUUUUUAAAAAUGAUGACUGGCCUUCUUAUUUUUAUUGUUUAAAUCAAGACACAAGAAAUAAA